rnacentral:tRNA from 1 species
GCCAGCAUGGCAUAGUGGUUUGAGCAUUGGACUACAACUCUGGAGGCCAGGGUUCAAUUCCCAGUUCAGCCA